rnacentral:rRNA from 1 species
AGUUUGAUCAGUGGCUCAGGACAACGCUGGCGGCGUGCCUAACACAUGCAAGUCGAGCGAAUGAAGUUCCUUCGGGAACGGAUUUAGCGGCGGACGGGUGAGUAACACGUGGGCAACCUGCCUCAUAGAGGGGAAUAGCCUUCCGAAAGGGAGAUUAAUACCGCAUAAGAUUAUAGUACCGCAUGGUACAGCAAUUAAGGAGCAAUCCGCUAUGAGAUGGGCCCGCGGCGCAUUAGUUAGUUGGUGAGGUAACGGCUCACCAAGGCGACGAUGCGUAGCCGACCUGAGAGGGUGAUCGGCCACAUUGGGGCUGAGACACGGCCCAGACUCCUACGGGAGGCAGCAGUGGGGAAUAUUGCACAAUGGGGAAACCCUGAUGCAGCAACGCCGCGUGAGUGAUGACGGCCUUCGGGUUGUAAAGCUCUGUCUUCAGGGACGAUAAUGACGGUACCUGAGGAGGAAGCCACGGCUAACUACGUG